UAACUGUGUAGCUCACCGGUAGAGCGGCCUUUCACGAGGCGCGCUGCGGGUUCAAUUCCCGCCCAGUCGU
rnacentral:tRNA from 1 species